GUCUACGGCCAUGCUACCCUAAAGAAGCCCGAUCCCAUCUGAUCUCGAAAGCUAAGAAGGGUUAGUACUUGGAUGGGAGACCACCUAGGAAGACCAGAUGCUAUAGGCG
rnacentral:rRNA from 1 species